rnacentral:lncRNA from 1 species
AUUUAACAUGGCGAUGUUCGUUUUUUCACCCUCCCUCCUCUCAGCGUCACCUGCUAACAUUACCCUCCCUGCCCCGGGCCCAAAUUACCGUCCAACCAUCUGCAGUCUACACACUCAGUGUAUGUCUAGUGCUGGUGUACACAGUACCGCUUGACACUUGUGCAAGAUUGAAGGGACGAAAGGAAGUAAAGAGUGUUUUCCUGCAGGACACCAGGAUUGUUUGGGAGUAUAUACCUUUAUGUUUUCUCUGACAACAUGGACUACUGCUUUUUGAAAGGAUUCCUAGUGGUUUUGUUGAUACAACACUGCACAUGUGAAGAUUUGUCUACGUCCAUCCAGUCCUCCACAGCGGUCACCCUCCAAGAUGACCAGGCCCCCCCCAAUGAACCGGAGCAGACCCCUGCAGAGGUGGUGCCCGUGGUUGCCCCACCUAGCCUGAGGGAGGUGCAGCAGGCUGUGCAGGAGGCCUCGGAGCAGGUGGAGGGUCGCGGGGCAGAGGAAGUGCUGAAGGGGCUUCUAGAGAGGGUGGUGGAGGCAGCUCUGGGGCAGGCGGAAGGAGGAGGCGAAGUGAAAGCAGAUGAGGCAGCAGAGCAGGAAACGACUGAGGAGGUGGGGGCUGAGAGAGGAGAGACUGAGUCAGAGGUGAUGGAGCAGGAAGUGGAGGAGGAAGCUGAGGGUGAGGAUAUCGGCGCCAAGGAAGCGGGAGAUACUGGUGUCGAAGUGGAGCAGGAGGAAGCCAAGGUGCAUGCAUUUCAAGAUGUGGCUGAAGAGGAGAAAGGACCUGUCGAGGGGGAGGUUGAGAUUGCAGCUGGAUCUGUGGAGGGGACUGCAGCGGGUGUAGAAAUCGGUGGCCGGGAAGCAGAGGAAGUGGAGGUUGUCGACGAGUCUCCAGAUGCUAAAGUUAGUCAUGAGGUUGUAGAGGAAGCUGCAGUUGCUUCAGAUGAGACAGGAGGGUAUUUAGCAGUGGAGGAGGCAGGGGUGGAGGGUGAGUUGUCAGAAGAAAAAAGUGAAAUAGAAUCACAGGAGAUAGAGGAAACUCCAGCUGUUGUAGGCGGAGAGUUGGAGCAGGAGACUGUGGUAGAAUCUGACCCCAGCCUGGCGGUGGCUGAUGUGGAGCAGAUUGAUUUAGGGGCAAAGGCAGAAGCUCUGGAGGAAGAAACUCAGUUAGAUGACAUGGAAGGUGAGGCGAUAGCACCGCCUGCUGAUAGUGACGAAAUGGAAACUACACAAUCUGUUGUAGGAGAGCCGGUAGAGGACGAGGAAGAAGGGAACGUAAGGGAGGAUGGUGAGGGGACUGAGGUGGAGGAUGAACAAGGCCAUUUAGCGGUGGAGGGAGGAGCUGCCGAGGGGGUCGAAGCAGAAGGCGCAGACGUGGGGGAAGCAGAAGGAGAGAGUGUAAUCAAGGAUGAAUCGGUGGCACCGGUAGAUGAAGGAGUCGAAGGAGAGGAGGCGCAGAUUGCUUUGGAGACCUCACAUGGCAGUGAAAAAGAGGACCAAGAAGCACCGGUGAUCUCUGCCCCAGAGCCUGGAGACGGUGCUGACGGCCCCAUGGAGCAGAGCCCUGAGAACCAGGGUCCCACCUCAGGCCCAUCAAGGGGUGGGGUGGAGGCGGAGGUGAAUACCCUCGGUGAUGAGAAAUCUAAUGAUGCCAACGAUAUCAUCACCGCGAGCGAUGACCUUCUGCCACACGACCCCGUCAUGGCCCAACCUACGCUUGAUAAUCUCGUGGAGGAUGUUGUGGCCGAAGGUCCUCAGGCAGAAGGGGAGGAACCAGGGGAGGCCAAUGAGCUGGUGGAAGAUAUAGCUGCAGCCACAGAGACAAGUGAGCUGAGCCUGGAGGCGUGGAAGAUUGGGGCUAUUUCCGCUGCCGUCUUCCUGGUUUUGGAGACCGUUGUGAUCAUCAUCUAUAUCUUCAAAUGUCGUGACAAAAACAGCUCCCGGGCCCUGCAGCGGGCAUGUGAGGAAGGGUGUGUUGAACCAGAGGCAGCUACGGGAGGCGACUGCAGCGACGACACACUUCCUGCAGGCAACGGGGAUGCUCAACAGAUAGCAGCCCUCGACCCAUCUGAUGUGGCUUCGACCUUGGCCCAGAACAAAGAGCAGCACGAGGAGGAGCAUGCGAUAGCCAUGUCUGACCUCCCGCCCAGCUCCACAGAGGAGUCGGCCAAUACUGGACCAGGACCAGACUCCUCACAAGACCCCAGGACUUCCAUUCUCUAG